rnacentral:rRNA from 1 species
UACGGAGGGGGCUAGCGUUGUUCGGAAUUACUGGGCGUAAAGCGCGCGUAGGCGGAUCUGCAAGUCGGGGGUGAAAUCCCCCGGCUCAACUGGGGAGGGUCACGCGAUACUGAUCGACUGGAAGGCAGGAGAGGGUAGUGGAAUUCCCGGUGUAGUGGUGAAAUGCGUAGAUAUCGGGAGGAACACCAGUGGCGAAGGCGACUACCUGGCCUGUUCUUGACGCUGAGGCGCGAAAGCUAGGGGAGCAAACGGG